GGUUUGAUUAUAUUCAGAUUGAAUUGGCGGAUGCUUUCAUACAUGCAAGUCGAACGGCAGCACGGACUUCGGUCUGGUGGGCGAGUGGCGAACGGUGAGUAAUGACGGAACGUAUUUCAGUAGCGGGAUAAUCAUUACAGCAGUAGCUAAUACCGCACAAUACCCUUCGGGGAAAGCGGGGACCUUCGGCCUGCACUAUUAGAGCGGCUGAUAUCGGAUUAGCUAGUUACAGGGUGCACUGCAUUCAUCAAGGCGACGAUCCGUGUAGCUGGUUUGAGAGGACGACCAGCCACACUGGGACUGAGACACGGCCCAGACUCCUACGGAUAGGCAGGGAAUUCUGGACAAUGGGAAAACCCUGAUCCAGCCAUCCUGGCGUGUGCGAUACGCCCGGUUGCAAAAGCACUUUGGCAGGAAAGAAACGGUACGGGAGCACACCCUGCCAGCAACUGACGAUACCCGCAGAAUAAGCACCAUGACCACAUGCGCCAGCAGCUGCGGUGGUACGGUAGGGUGUUAUAACGGGAAUUACUGGCGAAGCGCAGGCGGUUCGGAAAGAAAGAGCGAAAUCCCAGAGCUUAACUUUGAACUGCAGUAUUUUUAACUACCGAGCUAGAGUGUGUCAGAGGAGGGACUCCGCGUGUGUAGUAGUGAAAUGUGUAGAUAUGGAGGAACACCGACAUGAAGGCAGCCUCCUGUGGUUAACAUCGACGCCCGCGCAUCGAAAGGUGGAGCAACAGAUUAGAUACCCUGGUAGGGUUCACGCCCCAAACGAUGUCAACUAGCUGUUAAACCAUUUUGUGAUGCAGCUAACGUGCGAAGUUGACCGCUCGGGAGUAUUUGGUCGCAGAUUAACUCAAAGGAAUUGACGGGGACCCCGCACAAGCGGUGAUGAUGUGAUUAAUCUGAUGCAACGCGAAAAACCUUACCUACCUUGACAUGUUCGGAAUCCCGAAGAGAUUUGGGGAGUGCCCAAAAGAGAACUGGAACAUGCGGUGCUGUAUGUAUUGAAAUGUCAGCUCAUGUGUCGUGAGAUGUUGGUUAAGUCCCGCAACGAGCAACCCCUUUGAAAGCCAUUAUUAUUGCUACGAAAGGGCACUCUAAUGAGACUGCCGUAGACAAACCGAGGAAGGUGGGGAUGAUGUCAAGUCCCUUAUAGCCCUUAUGGUAGGGCUUCACACGUCGAAGCGGCCAAUGGUCGGGACAGAGGGUCGCCAACCUGCGAGGGAGCCAUCCCAGAAACCUGAUCGUAGUCCGAUCGCAGUUCGCAACUGACUGCGUGAAGUCGGAAUCGCGCAGUAAUCGCGGAUCAAAGGCUGUCGCGGUAAUACGUUCCCGGGUCUUGCACACACCGCCCGUCACACCAUGGGAGUGGGUUUUACCAGAAGUAGUUAGCCCAACUGCAAGGAGGGUUAUGAUUAUCACGGCAGGAUUCAUGACUGGGGUGGUUGCAACAUAG
rnacentral:rRNA from 1 species